UCUAUAGCAACUAGGUCUAGAGGGAAGUUGUGAGCAUUACGUUCAUGCAUAACUUCCAUACCAAGGCUAACACUAUAAAGGGGGUCGUAGUGACCAGGCUCGGGCGGCUGUUUACCAAAAACACAGGUCUCCGCAAAGUCAUAAGACCAUGUAUGGGAGCUGACGCCUGCCCAGUACCGGAAGGUCAAGGAAGUUGGUGACCUGAUGACAGGGGAAUCGGCGACCGAAGCCCCAGUGAACGACGACCGUAACUAUAACGGUCCUAAGAUAGUGAAAUUCCUUGUUAGGUAAGUUCCAACCCGCACGAAAGGCGUAUUUGAAUCAGAUUUUGGAUCAAUCUAUAUUGAGUGACUG
rnacentral:ncRNA from 1 species